GCCUGGGUGGCUCAGUCUGUUAAGCAUCUGACUUUGGCUCAGGUCAUGAUCUCACAGUUCGUGGGUUCAAGCCCCAUGUUGGGCU
rnacentral:tRNA from 1 species